CAUAAAGUAGAGCCUCGAUCCUUGCCGUUGUCCUUGCCCGAUCGUCUUCAGGUUUAGAAAGAGGUUCGAUUCGGCGUUACCUCUCAGAGGGCAUCCUCGCCAUAGGGAGCUCCGAAUCCACCCACUCUUAGGUGCAAAAGUGGUCCAUCAUUCGGGGGAAGAGAGAACUUCUGUCAAGAGUCGAUUCAGAUUUCAUCAAGGGUGUCUGGAGCGAUGUGAACGCUUUCAGCGAUAUCCAAGGAGUACCAGAGUCCACAGCUCGCAGACCGUUAUUUGCGUAUGGCACAAAGAUAUUUGGUAACAACUUUUUAAAAUUUCUUAUUUUUAAUAUACAUACAUCAAUUUAUUGAGGCCGUUACGUGUUUUAUUUUGUAUGGCGAUUAAUUUAUUAUAACUCCAUUCCUGGUUUGAUUAAUGUUGAGUUAAGCUAGUAAACAGAUAUCGUAAUUAUUUUUCCUAUUUACGUGGGCCUGACGAUCUGCUUUACUAAGUAUAGCAUGCGAUUUAACAAUUUUUGCGUCACGGCCGCACACAAGAAAAAUAAUGGGUACAUGCGUGAAUCUUUAGUUUACGUACAUUUAUUUGUAUGUAUUGGAAACGUAACUAAAAUAUGAGGCCCUUAAUUUCUAUUGUUGAACAUUUUAUUAUAGUAUUUACGGCCAUCUCCAAUUUUUAUUCCAGGUCAUCAAUUCCAGCUCCCGAUGAGCUGUCUAGCAUUUUGCUGUC